AGCAGAGGGAGCAGCAGAGAAAUGAAAGGUGAUCCAGAGAGCCAGCUAUGGAAAAUGUGGGUGGUGGGCAGUCCUGCUAAUGCUUUCGACCCUGACCUCUGCCAUUCUCUAGCUAAGAUUCGAGGGCACUGGCAGAGCUACAAUGCCCAGCGUGAAGACGACUAAUGCUGUUUCACCUGACCUGCCUUGCAAGGCUCACAGGACGUAGACUGAAUGUCUCUGCACACUUUGCAGGCUAAGGAUGUCUGUCUGCACACCACACCCCAAUCCAAAUGGGGGGUGAAUUAGCACAAGAGCUGACAUGUUAAGCAGUCAUGCUUAUCACAGUCUCCCACCAGUGAGGCAGAGGCUGGGUCAAACAGCGCUGUAAAAGGCACCCGGGAAAUCCAGCUCCAGUCAAAGCCUCCUCCCACUGUCUCCCAACAGGGCAGCCACGGCUGGGCCAGGCUACUUGAUACCACCACAGGAUCUGCUUGAAGAUCAUCCGGUUUGCCUCGCUGCUCUGCUGCUUCCACAGUCUCCAGUGACUGAGGAAUUCCCAUGUGCUCAGUCUUCGUGUUCCAUUCUC